rnacentral:rRNA from 1 species
UACGUAGGUGGCAAGCGUUGUCCGGAUUUACUGGGCGUAAAGAGCGCGCAGGCGGUCGAAUAAGUCGAAUGUGAAAGCCCCCGGCUCAACUGGGGAGGGUCAUUCGAUACUGCUCGACUUGAAGGCAGGAGAGGGAAGUGGAAUUCCCGGUGUAGUGGUGAAAUGCGUAGAUAUCGGGAGGAACACCAGUGGCGAAGGCGACUUCCUGGCCUGUUCUUGACGCUGAGGCGCGAAAGCUAGGGGAGCAAACGGG